rnacentral:rRNA from 1 species
CCUACGGGUGACAGCAGUGGGGGAUAUUGCACAAUGGGGGAAACCCUGAUGCAGCGACGCCGCGUGUGGGAAGACGGUCCUCUGGAUUGUAAACCACUGUCCCCAGGGACGAAGAUGACGGUACCUGGGGAGGAGGCUCCGGCUAACUACGUGCAAGCGGCCGCGGUAAUAGGUAGGGAGCGAGCGUUGUCCGGAAUUACUGGGUGAAAGGGGAGCGUAGGCGGGGAUGCAAGUUGGGUGUCAAAACUACCGGCUAAACUGGUAGUCGCACUCAAAACUGCGGCUCUUGAGUGAAGUAGGGGCAGGCGGAAUUCCUAGUGUAGCGGGGAAAUGCGUAGAUAUUAGGAGGAACACCAGUGGCGAAGGCGGCCUGCUGGGCUUUUACUGACGCUGAGGCUCGAAAGUGUGGGGAGCAAACAGGAUUAGAUACCCCUGUAGUC